rnacentral:rRNA from 1 species
UGCAGUUAAAAAGCUCGUAGUUGGAUUUCUGCGGGGGCGGGGCGGCCGAACGCUUAUAGCGUUUCGAGCUAGCACUUCCCCUGCAUCCUGCCGCGAACCGUGCUACCAUUAGUUUGGUGGCGCCGGGGAUCGGCUCGUUUACUUUGAGAAAAAUAGAGUGUUCAAAGCAGGCCACACGCCUUGAAUAAGUUAGCAUGGAAUAAUGAUAAAGGACUUCGGUUCUAUUUUGUUGGUGUUCGGGACUGAAGUAAUGAUUGAUAGGGACAGUUGGGGCGGUCCGUAUUCCAAAGCGAGAGGUGAAAUUCUUAGACCUUCGGAAGACGAACAGCUGCGAAAGCGU